rnacentral:rRNA from 1 species
AAUCCCGACACGGGGAGGUAGUGACAAUAAAUAACAAUAUAGGGCUCUUUCGGGUCUUAUAAUUGGAAUGAGUACAAUUUAAAUCCCUUAACGAGGAACAAUUGGAGGGCAAGUCUGGUGCCAGCAGCCGCGGUAAUUCCAGCUCCAAUAGCGUAUAUUAAAGUUGUUGCAGUUAAAAAGCUCGUAGUUGAACUUCAGGCCUGGCUGGGCGGUCCGCCUAACGGUGUGUACUGUCUGGCUGGGUCUUACUUCUUGGUGAGCCGGUGUGCCCUUUAUUGGCGUGCAUCGGGGAACCAGGACUUUUACCUUGAGAAAAUUAGAGUGUUCAAAGCAGGCUAUUGCCUGAAUACAUUAGCAUGGAAUAAUAGAAUAGGACGUGCGGUUCUAUUUUGUUGGUUUCUAGAGUCGCCGUAAUGAUUAAUAGGGAUAGUUGGGGGCAUUGGUAUUGAGUCGCUAGAGGUGAAAUUCUUGGAUUGACUCAAGACCGACUACUGCGAA